rnacentral:rRNA from 1 species
UGGGGAAUAUUGGACAAUGGGCGCAAGCCUGAUCCAGCCAUGCCGCGUGAGUGACGAAGGCCUUAGGGUUGUAAAGCUCUUUUGGCGGGGAAGAUAAUGACGGUACCCGCAGAAUAAGCUCCGGCUAACUUCGUGCCAGCAGCCGCGGUAAUACGAAGGGAGCUAGCGUUGUUCGGAAUCACUGGGCGUAAAGCGCACGUAGGCGGACUUUCAAGUCAGGGGUGAAAUUCCGGGGCUCAACCUCGGAACUGCCUUUGAUACUGUUGGUCUCGAGUCCGGAAGAGGUGAGUGGAAUUCCUAGUGUAGAGGUGAAAUUCGUAGAUAUUAGGAAGAACACCGGUGGCGAAGGCGGCUCACUGGUCCGGUACUGACGCUGAGGUGCGAAAGCGUGGGGAGCAAACA